rnacentral:rRNA from 1 species
GGAUGAACGCUGGCGGCGUGCCUACUACAUGCAAGUCGAGCGAACAGACGAGGAGCUUGCUCCUCUGACGUUAGCGGCGGCCGGGUGAGUAACACGUGGAUAACCUACCUAUAAGACUGGGAUAACUUCGGGAAACCGGAGCUAAUACCGGAUAAUAUAUUGAACCGCAUGGUUCAAUAGUGAAAGACGGUUUUGCUGUCACUUAUAGAUGGAUCCGCGCCGCAUUAGCUAGUUGGUAAGGUAACGGCUUACCAAGGCAACGAUGCGUAGCCGACCUGAGAGGGUGAUCGGCCACACUGGAACUGAGACACGGUCCAGACUCCUACGGGAGGCAGCAGUAGGGAAUCUUCCGCAAUGGGCGAAAGCCUGACGGAGCAACGCCGCGUGAGUGAUGAAGGUCUUCGGAUCGUAAAACUCUGUUAUUAGGGAAGAACAAAUGUGUAAGUAACUAUGCACGUCUUGACGGUACCUAAUCAGAAAGCCACGGCUAACUACGUG